rnacentral:rRNA from 1 species
AGAGUUUGAUCCUGACUCAGGACGAACGCUGGCGGUGUGCUUAAGACAUACAAGUCGUGCGGUCCCGCAAAGGGACAGCGGCGGACGGGUGAGUAACACGUGGAUAACCUGCCUGACUCCCCGGGAUAACAGUUCGAAAAGGGCUGCUAAUACCGGGUAAGCUCACGGAGUCGCAUGGCUCCGGGAGAAAAGGUCCUGCAAGGGACUGGGGUGAGAGGGGUCCGCGGUCCAUUAGCUAGUUGGAGGGGUAACGGCCCACCAAGGCGACGAUGGAUAGCCGGCCUGAGAGGGCGACCGGCCACACUGGGACUGAGACACGGCCCAGACUCCUACGGGAGGCAGCAGUCGGGAAUUUUGGGCAAUGGCCGAAAGGGCUGACCCAGCAACACCGCGUGAGUGAAGAAGGCCUUCGGGUUGUAAAGCUCUGUUACCCGUGAAGAACGGUACGUCGAGGAAAUGCGAUGUACUUGACGGUAGCGGGGGAGGAAGCUCCGGCUAACUACGUGCCAGCAGCCGCGGUAAUACGUAGGGAGCGAGCGUUGUCCGGAUUUAUUGGGCGUAAAGGGCGUGUAGGCGGCUUGUUAAGUCUGAAGUGAAAAUCCAGGGCUCAACCCUGGAACUGCUUCGGAUACUGGCGAGCUUGAGUGCUCUAGAGGGCAGUGGAAUUCCGGGUGUAGCAGUGAAAUGCGUAGAGAUCCGGAGGAACACCAGUGGCGAAGGCGACUGCCUGGGGAGUAACUGACGCUGAGGCGCGAAAGCUGGGGGAGCAAACGGGAUUAGAUACCCCGGUAGUCCCAGCCGUAAACGAUGAGUGCUAGGUGUAGGGGGUAUCGACCCCCCCUGUGCCGCAGUUAACGCAAUAAGCACUCCGCCUGGGGAGUACGGCCGCAAGGUUGAAACUCAAAUGAAUUGACGG